rnacentral:sRNA from 1 species
UAUUCAGAGUAAUAAAAAAUAAGUAUAUAUACGUUGAAUGCUUGCAUUCAUAAGGAUAUAUACUUAUUUUUAUAUUACGAAGUAACCCUAUGAGCAAAAGAAAAGCACCGUAGGUGCGGUUUUGCGAAUAGGGUCUGAAUAGUUUACCAGGCCCCAAAGUUGAAUA